ACACAUUUGUACCUCUCCUCCAGAGGUCGAAGGGCUUUCUUCCAAGCAUCCUCCACGACUCUCAUCACCUCUGAGAACACAUUGUUGAUCUCCUGCCAUUCAGCAUCCAAGCUGUCCUGAAAGGAGUAAUGGAAAUGUAUCCUGAGCUGUGGUUGUUGGGGUAUUCCAGAGUUGUCCUUCCUGAAGGAUGAAAGCAGACUUGCUGGGCUACCAAGGGUCAGGAGAGGCUGUGAGAGAAAAGGGGAGGACACGUUUUUACAGGUUUACUCAACAAAGCUUUGCCAUGUUGUCCCAAUCACUCAAUAUUUACACGUCACUUGCAAGUUACAAAUACACAGAGCUGAGCAAGAACUUAGCUCAAAUGAGUGUCGGCAGUAAGGCACGGGCAGCGCCAGCAGCUAUGCAAGACGGCAGAUAGGGAAAUUAGUUAUCAACAGCAAAGCUAACAUGCUUAGUUUAUGCUAACAUUUGGGUAUUAGAUGUUGAUGAAGGUUCUCAGUCAUCCAGGUUGUGUGUUCUGUAUGUAGGCAACUGGACUUGUUUCAGUUUCUUGAAUACGUUUCAUCUCUCAUCCAGGAGGCUUCUACAGUUCUAACUGGGGGGGAGUUGCAGGCUUUUAAACUCCGUGUGGGAGUGUCCUUACAGAGUUGUUAAGGGUAAUAUGAGCUCUGAGUCUCAGAGUCGAUAGGGCCAGGAUCAUUUCUGACUUAGUCAGUGGCAUUACCAAAACGACGGCUAUUAGAAAUUCCCAGACCCAAAAGGUCCCUGAAACCACAAGCUGUACAGCAUUGUAGAAUAAACCAUUUAAAAGAC